rnacentral:rRNA from 1 species
UACAGAGGUCUCAAGCGUUGUUCGGAUUCAUUGGGCGUAAAGGGUGCGUAGGAGGGCAGGUAAGUCAGUGGUGAAAUCUCCGGGCUUAACUCGGAAACUGCCGUUGAUACUAUCUGUCUUGAAUAUUGUGGAGGUGAGCGGAAUAUGUCAUGUAGCGGUGAAAUGCUUAGAUAUGACAUAGAACACCGAUUGCGAAGGCAGCUCGCUACACAUAUAUUGACUCUGAGGCACGAAAGCGUGGGGAUCAAACAGG